GAUGAAGAACGUAGCGAAAUGCGAUAAGUAGUGUGAAUUGCAGAAUUCAGUGAAUCAUCGAAUCUUUGAACGCACAUUGCGCCCGCCAGUAUUCUGGCGGGCAUGCCUGUUCGAGCGUCAUUACAACCCUCAGGCCCCCGGGCCUGGCGUUGGGGAUCGGCGGAAGCCCCCUGUGGGCACACGCCGUCCCUCAAAUACAGUGGCGGUCCCGCCGCAGCUUCCAUUGCGUAGUAGCUAACACCUCGCAACUGGAGAGCGGCGCGGCCAUGCCGUAAAACACCCAACUUCUGAAUGUUGACCUCGAAUCAGGUAGGAAUACCCGCUGAACUUAAGCAUAUCAAUAAGCGGAGGA
rnacentral:misc_RNA from 1 species